rnacentral:rRNA from 1 species
AACGAACGCUGGCGGCAUGCCUAACACAUGCAAGUCGAACGAGACCUUCGGGCCUAGUGGCGCACGUGUGCGUAACGCGUGGGAACCUGCCCUUAGGUUCGGAAUAACUCCCCGAAAGGGGUGCUAAUACCGGAUAAUGUCUUCGGACCAAAGAUUUAUCGCCUUUGGAUGGGCCCGCGUUGGAUUAGCUAGUUGGUAGGGUAAAAGCCUACCAAGGCGACGAUCCAUAGCUGGUCUGAGAGGAUGAUCAGCCACACUGGGACUGAGACACGGCCCAGACUCCUACGGGAGGCAGCAGUGGGGAAUAUUGGACAAUGGGCGAAAGCCUGAUCCAGCAAUGCCGCGUGAGUGAUGAAGGCCUUAGGGUUGUAAAGCUCUUUUACCCGGGAUGAUAAUGACAGUACCGGGAGAAUAAGCUCCGGCUAACUCCGUG